rnacentral:rRNA from 1 species
UCCCAGCCGUAAACGAUGCAGGCUAGGUGUGUGGACGCCUUAGGGGCGUCCAUGUGCCGAAGGGAAACCGUUAAGCCUGCCGCCUGGGGAGUACGGCCGCAAGGCUGAAACCCUAGGAGGCCCUUAAUCGAUAUGGUGAGGAAGGGCUUUUCCUAGGGCAGCAUACUUAAAGGAAUUGGCGGGGGACACCAAAGGGGUAGCCUGCGGUUCAAUUGGAGUCAACGCCCGAAACC